GGUGUUUAGGGGAGCGGGGGCCGGGUGCCCCCGCUGGCUGCCGGAGCCCCUGGACUCCGGACGCGGAGCCGCCGAGCUGCAAUGGACUCUGCCCGCCGCUGGCCGCAGAGCGGAGCACACCCGCCGCCGCCGCCGAGGGAGAGCGGCCCGCCCGGAGCCGGCCCGCAGCGCGCCCCUCACCCGGAGAGGGACCCGGAGUUUCCUCUUCGGCAUCGCUCCGGUGACCGCGGGCUGUGCCAGCCGGCCGCCCAGAUAGGUUGCGUGGCAGCCACGGCGCGAGCGAAUAGAACUCCUUGGAUGCGUCGGAAGCAAGCGCCGGGAGCAUUUUGUGAUCUUUGUGGGAGGAAGGCAAAAGCCACCCAGGCCCUAUUCCCUCCAUCUUGAGCUUUCCAUGGUGAUUUGCAGCAGCACAGGGAAGUAUGAAGCACUGAGGAACAGAAGUCAGUAUUUAAACCUGACUUCACUUCAGCAUUAACGACCACAUAAGUUUCAGAUAACAGAGGACCAGGGGUAGAAUAGCAGUAGCACUUAAGGUGCCUGAUUUAGAAGUUCUGUUUUGCAUAACUAAAGAUUUGGGAGCUGUUCAGAAAAGAUGAUUAUGCAAGUGUUUUUAUUUACUGUCCUAACAGAAGAUGAUGAUCCGCAUUAUCUUACAUGCAUCUUGGAUGCAUCUGUAUCACCAUAUAGAUUUCAGGGGACCUGUAUUGAUUUAAGUUAGUAAAGAAACACAGUGAAGUUUUAAAUAAUUGGAAUAAUAUUCUCCCUCUCUUUCAGUCAGAUUUGCCCUUCAUGUUACUUGUGUUUCAUAAUCCUCCUAGCUCUCCAUUUCGUCAUUACAAGACCAGCAUCUCUACUGUAAAAAAAACCCAAAAAAACAGUGAGAGAGAAAGAGAGAGGACCCCCCCCCAAGAAAAAAAAGUCUUUUUACAAUCUGCUAUUUAUAUCAAUGUUUAAAUAAAUUUAGGGCACAAAGUGAUCCUGGUUUUUAAUAGGCCUAUUUAGUUUCAUUUACUUACACAGGAAUUUUUUUGGAACCAGAAGCUCUCAGGAAGAGAAUGUGUUCGAUGCACCAAUGCCCUUUAGGAGUUUGAUAAAAGACAUGAUAUCAUGAGUAUCAUCACCACUUCUGUUAUUCUUCUUACUUAGUAGCGACAAGAUUGAAUCACCAUUUUUAGCUAUUCUCCAGCAGAACUCGUAAUCUAUCAAUGUGUCAGCUCAACAGCAGUUUUCUCUUCACUAAUGUGAACCAGAAGGUCCAGCUAUCACUGAUUUUGACAUUUUUAUCUGAGAUUGCAUGUAUUGCAGAAGUUUGAAGCAGAUGAAUUAUAGGGUCUAUUACAUUUUCCUAAAGAUGUACAAAACAUAGACUACGUCACCUAAAACAUUUCAAACGAAUUUAUACCAGUUAACAUUCCUAUGCUUGAUGUUUCACAAGCCUUCUGCUAGAAGAACUAUUAAAUAUUUGUCUGAUAAAUAACAAGAAUGAGACCAAGUGUGGGUCUUGCAGUUUUUUGAAUGCCUCACAUUGCCCUCACUGUUGUUACAUAAUGCAUCAUAAAGAAAUACGUGCCUUCAUUCUCUUUAAAUCACUCCAGCAUGGAUAGUACUAAGCCUUCCUCCAAGUCCUCGUUAUGCAAGUCCUUGCUACUGGUAAUAGCUGUCAGCUCUGCAUGGUUACUUUCAAUGCAAGGUAACUGCAGACUUUUUGUAAAGCUCCUUGCAUUUCUGGAAUUUUCAGUGAGGUGAUUCCAGGGGUGUUGCUCUCUUUCUCAGCUACAAACUAAGUUAUUAUGAACAAAAGGUUUUCUCCCAUUAGAAUAAAUCCCAUUCAUUCCAGAACACCAGAAGGUAACCUGUUUUUUUUGGGGUAUUCUUUUUUUUUUUUUUUUUUUUUUCUUUUGUUUACUUGCCUCUAUAAGGACAUUCAUUAUGAGUAUCUGAAUGCACUUCAGUGUCAAAACAGUGGAAUAGACCAGAAUGCAGUAGUAUUUUGAAUGUCUGUUGGAGAAUGCAGGCAUAUAACUAAGUACUGAAAAAAGACAUAGCACAGUAAAAAAAUCCAUGACCAAUCUAGCAAAGCUAUUAGGUAACAAAAAAUCCAUAUGGGCAUCAAGUACUAUUAUUUAAAGUAAAAUCUGUGUUAUACAGUAUAAGCAGCAUUCAAGUGAAAUUGAUGAGACAUCUCUAUAGAACUGAAAGUAUCAUUUUUAAAAGCUAUGAUACGAUGUUCUGUAUUUCUUUACCUGGAAAGUGGAAUUUUACUCGUCAUUCUGUAAGGGUAUAAAAUUAACAGCAAGCACUUCAGAGAAUUAAGAAUGCUGCCUGAUUUGUGGAUUUUUUUUUUUCCCCUCUGUAAAACACAGACAUCAUUGGCGGCAAAAAAUCAGGAAAAACCUUUCUGGGUUUUCCAAUAUCAUGUAGAUCUUGUUGAAUAGCCUGUCUUUAAGAUGGCCUUGGUUUUAAAGAGACUGAAACAGGAAUAUCUCAAAAUUUGUCAUACUGACUAAAAAAUAUUUUCUCUUCGUUUUUACUUGUAGGAUAUGCAGGUCGUAACUCAGCAAUGUGUCACCAGGAAAGGAGAGUUUGUUUCAUAUUCCAUUAACAGAUCUUUUAAUUUAACACUGCUUUAUUGCAUUUCUACAUUUCUUUACCUUUGUUGCUUUUGUAAAUUUGAGGUACUAACUUAUUUGUUUAUUUCCAUUUUCCUACUUCUAGUUAUUUUGGAAGGUUAAAAUAUAAUCUGUUCAGAUUUUGGUAUAACACAUGGAAAAUAUUUUUUUUUAAUUCCUUUUGCAAGCAGUAGGUUGGUGGGAGGAGGUCUGCACUAAAAAAUAGUGUACCUAUGAAGUUGUACUCAGUGGGAGAUUAAAUAAAAAAGAGCAGGAUGACUGAGGCAAGUCAUUUGUCACAGAUGUUCAUGCAGUCAUGGUGUUUUAUUUUAAGCUGGAUUCAUCAAAUGUGCUAAGGAGUAAUUUCUGUCUGAUAUGAAGUUCCCAUCAAAGGAGACUGAGUGGUUUAAGUUUAAACCAUGGUUUGAAAAUACAGGGGAAUGUUACUGGACCGGUGACAGUUUGAUUCGGUAGCCAAAGUGGACACAAGGAAGUAAAUUGAAGAAUGCUAUUUUUGACCUAAAAUAUGUCAGGAAAAUACAUCAUUAAUAUAGUACUGUGGAGCAGUGACUUUACCUAGAAGAUGUUUUUUUUUUCUAUGAAGCACAAAGAUUUUACCACAGGCGUCUGAAUUAUGUAGAUUAUAAAGGGUACCGAUGCCGUUAGAAAGCAAGCAUGAAAUGGUGAUGUGUGAACCUCAGAUAUUUGAGCAACAUUUACUAACCACUUUUACAGUAUUUUGUAUGUUUAUAAUAUAGGUUUAGUAUUAAUUUUAUGUAGUGAAAAUGGAGGAGAUAAGCACUAGUGUAAUACUGAUUUGGGGUUUUGUAGAUAGGCCAAUUAUCAUAUUUAGCAAAGUACAAUACAAAUAAGAAGGCCCAGGACUAAGAUAACUUUAAAAGGGAGAUUUUAAAAAAAAUCAGUACUGGACUUAUUCUUUGUUUGUAUUUGUUGCUCUCUCUUUUAAUAUAAUUUACUCUUUUGUUACGUUUUUCUCUCUUCCUUCAGAAAUACUAUGUCCCAGCCCCGAAAGGGAGAAAUAUUAUGGCUACCUGUUUACUGAAGCAAAAAGAUUUUUUCCCAAACUGAAAUAUGUGCAUUAAUUUGCUAGACUUCCAGCAAUUUUUAUGUAUGGUAUUUCUGAGAAAGAGAUUGUAAUGUCCAUUUUAAUGCAGCUUACCACAGUAUAGCAGCCGUAAUUAAGCGCUUUUCUUUUUGGUAGUCGGAUAUACAGAAUUAUCAGGCUGUUUGCUUUUAUGUACCUGAAAACUGAAUCAGAAAAAAGUAUUUUUGAUAUGAUAAAUUUUCCUUUCCAGUCUGUACUUUCUUUUGAGUUUUCUGGGUAAAUGCUGUGCAGAUUGAUUAUCAGAAAAAUUGAGGCUUACGUAAUCGGGACAUAUAUUUUUCUACUGCCUCCCUUCCCCCAUAUAGCAUUCAUUUUACUAUGAAAAAAGAAAAAUUUUGAAAAGAAAAUUACUAUGACAUGCUGAUUAUACACACAUUUUCAUGGAACUGCACAGCUAAGCUAGUUGUAUGUAUUUAGUAAAAGAAACAGCAAGCAAAAUAUUAAAACCUUGAGAUGGCUAACUUUGAAAUUAUAGUCGUAAUUAAAUACAGCUUUAUCUAACAUGUUGUACCUACCUGCAUAGCAAUAAGUCGUUUUUCUUUGCAUAGGGAAUUAGAGCACUUCAAUGUAGUCUUUAUUCAUCAUAAGAAAAAUAAGAACGUCGUACCCCAUUUUUUUAUUCAUCGUAAAGCUGAUGCUCCUUCAUAAGGGAGUUGGUUUAAUACCUAACUUUCAGAGGAUGAUUUUCAGUGAUUCUUGUUGAGAAAAUAUAAGCAAAUGAAUCAGAACUCUGUCCUGUUAGAUAAUUACAAACUGAAUUAACUAAAAAGAAUAUUAUUAAAAUUUUAUCUAAAUAUGUUAACAUGAGCUCUUACCCAUAGGUGGCAGUCAUCUUUCACUGUAGCAGGGAUGCCAAACUUUUGGUUCGUGGUAUUCAUGCUUAUGCUGAAAUAAUUUUGAUGAGGUAUGCGUAUGUAUGUAAGAAUAUACAUGUCUGCAUUUAGGGAGAGGAGGAAGGAGGUGACAUUAACCAUAAAAUUACUUAAUAAUUAGGAGGAAUCUAAAUUGCUGUGUACAGGCAGUAAGAUAAGGAAUUACUGUAUUCUGGAGAAAAGGUAGAGGUAUUUAUAAAACCACAGAAGCACAUUUAUUUAUCAAUCCAUUGCUGAUGCUCCUCAAAACAAAGUAGUGAUAAUUCAGAAACCAGGUAACCCUACAAAUUGAGCAGAAAGGCAGGUAUCGGGCCAGCCUUAGUGAACACAACCCUAUAUCGUACCCAGUCCUCCAAACCACAUUUCUGUCAUCAUUUAUCUGUAAAUUACAGAUGCACCACAGUGAUGAUGUUGCCCUGGAAAUCACAGCAAAGAGGUAUCUUAAAAUUGAGGAAAUACAGAAAAAGUGCUCUGGGUGAGGGUGGCCUUUCAGUCUUGGAGAGCAAGCAGAACCUACAGGCUGCUGUGCUGUCCUCUGUCUCUGCAGGGCUGUGAUCGACACCCGUGGCAGCGCUGCGCAAGGGGAGGACGCUGCCUGCCCGAACAGAGAUUCUCAGUUGUGCCAUCAGCUUUUUUUAGGGAUUUAUGUGGUUUAUGGGGAUUUCCUUUUGCAAUACCACUAAGGAGGCCCUUGGGACCCCACCAAAACUGGAGGGUAUAGAAGGAACUAAUAAGGCCAGGUCAUCUCAGGCUAAAACAAACAGAACUCAUGAAACUACAAAUGUGUCAUAGUGAAACAAUAACAUUCUUCUGAGAAAAGGAGACUGAAACCCGAAAUUCCUGGGUAGGUGAAGUCAUAUUCUUUUUUCUGUUACAGCUGCACUGAAACUCUUUUCAGUUAAGAUUAAUCUAAUAUUGUGUCAAGAUAGGCCACUGUACACAUUCAGCAGAGGUCAGGAAUUAGCAUUUAACAAAAUAGAAAAUUGGAAAAAUAGGCAAUUAUGUGUUGCUGUUACAGUGUUGCACUGUGAUGCAAGAUUAAGGGCUCAGAAUUGAGCGGAAUGGUACAGUAUUAUUAAA
rnacentral:lncRNA from 1 species